rnacentral:lncRNA from 1 species
CAUUUCAUCCGAGCCUAUGCCCGAGUCGACUAGACCCGCAGGCAGUGAAUGAAGAAAACCACAGAGUGCAGCAGCUUUCUUGUUAUCCAUUUGCCCUGCAAAGGAGUUAAUUUCUUCUGAUCAUGGUACUGCUGUGAGUAUGGUUAGCUUUUUUCUGAACCACAUCUCAUUCUGGAAAACAGUGUACAGGUUUUGCUGACAAAAGUUGUCUCAAGGUUUAAUGUUGUAAGUUACUCUCUCAAAGGAAGGAGAUUUGUUGUGUGAACUCUAGUUCGGAUUUUGCUGCUUUUGUUGGAAUAUCCAUGGCUUUUAUAGUGUGUAAGAUCUUAUAGAAUGUGAGUUGCUUUAACAUCUUCAGAUUCAACCAAAAUUGGGAAUUUUAUAGAAAAGAGCUCUUCAAUGGGAAGGAGGAGCCAGGACGUACGAGUGUUGUUUCCUUCACUCGAGGGACAGUUCAUAUCUUGCCGCAAAGUCGUAUGUUCGUCCGUCUUGUUCUUCUUCUUACCUCUGUCAAGUGAACCAUUGGCAGACUUCCUCUUCACAUCGACCAGCUUGAACCGACAUAACUCGUUGAUCCUGCUCUUCUUCUUCAUCAGAUUGCAUCUUCAUUAGAUGUGCGUGCCUUACUCAACUUCAUGCAAAAGCGUCUGCCUCCUCUCCUUUGCAAACGCAAGCUGCUUCUUCUUCGAAACAAAUUCCUGAAAUCCACAAUUUGCACAAAUAUAUUAUGAUUUUGAGACACUACUAACUCGAGAAGAAAAAAGGACACUGUUGCAGAUUCAAGAAAUCCCGAAACAGUACUUUCUGCCUGGCUCUAAACCUAGUUUCCUCGUCUUCUAUAGAAUAUUCAGAUUGGUGAGUGUCACGGACAACGGAGACCCUUCUCUUGUUGUUGUUCUUCAUUCGCUUGGUUUCAAGAUCAGACAUGCGUACCCUCUUUCUGGAAAAAGCUUGAAACUUUGUGAAGGAAAUCAGGAACCCAGAACUGAAUAGCGAGGGAGGAAGGCCGCGAACCUUGAGUCCCAAAUCCAAAUCAGGAAAGGAAAUUAUCGGUGGAAAUUUUGAUGGAAGGGAAGGGAAGGAAGCGUAAAGAAUAAAAGGAAGUAUGCAAACGAGUCGAACCCUCUGAUCCGUUUUCCAUGAAUGAAUGAAUGACACAGGGAGGGAGAGAGGGAGCAGACGAAAAGGAGGAAGAAGAAAGCGGGUAAAGGUUAAUAUGUACAGGUCAGCAAUAGCGGAAGAGCGUAAUUCGAAAUUACUGGGCGAUGCUUUUGGUCUGUCCACCCACCUUUGGUUGGGCAAUUACUCGUCAAUGAGAUGAGUUAUUUUGUAAGAUUUAUGAGGUGUAAAUGGUUUUAGUAACUUGUUUGACUUAUAUGUUAUUAGAUAUUUAAAUUCUAAUCUGAUAUUUGAU